CAGGGAAUAGUUUAAGCUAGAAUGUCAGCUUUGGGUGUUGAUGGUGGGGCGAUAGUCUCUUCCUUG
rnacentral:tRNA from 1 species